rnacentral:rRNA from 1 species
GCAGCCGCCGCGGUAACACGGAGGGUGCAAGCGUUAAUCGGAAUUACUGGGCGUAAAGCGCACGCAGGCGGUCUGACAAGUCAGAUGUGAAAUCCCCGGGCUUAACCUGGGAACUGCAUUUGAAACUGUCAGGCUGGAGUCUUGUAGAGGGGGGUAGAAUUCCAGGUGUAGCGGUGAAAUGCGUAGAGAUCUGGAGGAAUACCGGUGGCGAAGGCGGCCCCCUGGACAAAGACUGACGCUCAGGUGCGAAAGCGUGGGGAGCAAACAGGAUUAGAUACCCGUGUAGUCCCUGUCUCUUAUAC